rnacentral:rRNA from 1 species
UGGGGAAUCUUGGACAAUGGGGGCAACCCUGAUCCAGCCAUGCCGCGUGAGUGAUGAAGGCCUUAGGGUCGUAAAGCUCUUUCGCCUGUGAAGAUAAUGACGGUAGCAGGUAAAGAAACCCCGGCUAACUCCGUGCCAGCAGCCGCGGUAAUACGGAGGGGGUUAGCGUUGUUCGGAAUUACUGGGCGUAAAGCGCACGUAGGCGGACCAGAAAGUUGGGGGUGAAAUCCCGGGGGCUCAACCCCGGAACUGCCUCCAAAACUAUUGGUCUAGAGUUCGAGAGAGGUGAGUGGAAUUCCAAGUGUAGAGGUGAAAUUCGUAGAUAUUUGGAGGAACACCAGUGGCGAAGGCGGCUCACUGGCUCGAUACUGACGCUGAGGUGCGAAAGUGUGGGGAGCAAACAGGAUUAGAUACCCUGGUAGUCCACGCCGUAAAACGAUGAGUGCUAGAUGUUGGGAUUUUCGGAUUUCAGUGUCGCAGCUAACGCAUUAAGCACUCCGCCUGGGGAGUACGGCCGCAA